rnacentral:sRNA from 1 species
AGCCUAAACCCCGCCUAGUGCGGGGCAUGGCAUCAAAAACCUUAUCAGAAGUAAGCUCUUCGUCAGAGCAUCUGAUAAGGUUGUAUACCGAAAGGUAUGCAGGUAGCGAAAGCUAUC